AAAAAAAGGAGAUGUCACGUAAUCUCCAUUAAUCUCUCAUCUCCCACGCUGAACUUGCCAAAUUUUCUGUAGCUUUCCUUCUCUAGCACGGCAACAUUAGAUCUCCAUCUAAUCUCCAUCUAUUAUGUUGUAGCUUUCCUUCCCUAGCACGAUAAUGGCUAAUCUCCAUGUAAUUCCCCAUCUUCUACACUUUUCCGUCCAGAAUAUUCAAUCUUCCUCACCCUCCCGGCUUGGGUUCCAUCCAUGAAACCUUUGCAGGAAGGAGGAGAAGAUCGCAGAGGACGGCCCUAAUCCAGUCCACCAACACAUCUAAUUUUGUGGAUGCCAUGGAUGCAAGGACAUGCAAAUUUCUGUAGCCUUCCUUCUCUAGCACGGUAACACUUGAUCUGCUUCUAAUUCCUCAUUCUUAUGUUGUAGCUUUCUUUCCUUAAGUCGAUAAUGGUUAAUCUCAAUCUAGUUCCACAUCUUCUAUACCUUUAUGUGUAG
rnacentral:lncRNA from 1 species